UACGGAGGGUGCGAGCGUUGUCCGGAAUCACUGGGCGUAAAGGGCGCGUAGGCGGCGCGAGCAGUCGGCGGUGAAAGCCCGGAGCUCAACUCCGGGUCGGCCGUCGAUACUCUCGUGCUUGAGCACUGUAGAGGCAGAUGGAAUUCCGGGUGUAGCGGUGGAAUGCGUAGAUAUCGGGAAGAACACCCGUGGCGAAGGCGGCUACUC
rnacentral:rRNA from 1 species